GAACGGGAACUUUUUUGGUAGCAAUACCGGAGAAGUUUUAGUGGCGAACGGGUGCGUAACACGUGGGCAAUCUGCCGAGAAGUGGGGGAUAGCUCGCCGAAAGGCGAAUUAAUACCGCAUAUGAUCAGGGAAGACAUCUUUCCAACAUCAAAGCCGGGGCAACCUGGCGCUUCUUGAUGAGCCCGCGGCCUAUCAGCUAGUUGGUGAGGUAACGGCCCACCAAGGCUAUGACGGGUAGCUGGUCUGAGAGGACGACCAGUCACACUGGAACUGAGACACGGUCCAGACACCUACGGGUGGCAGCAGUCGAGAAUUUUUCUCAAUGGGGGCAACCCUGAAGGAGCGACGCCGCGUGGAGGAUGAAGGCUUUCGGGUUGUAAACUCCUGUCAUUUGGGAACAAGCUGCUCGCGUUUACUGCGUGGGCAUUGAUAGUACCAGAAGAGGAAGAGACGGCUAACUCUGUGCCAGCAGCCGCGGUAAUACAGAGGUCUCAAGCGUUGUUCGGAUUCAUUGGGCGUAAAGGGUGCGUAGGUGGCGUCGUAAGUCGGGUGUGAAAUUUCGGAGCUUAACUCCGAAACUGCAUUUGAUACUGCGGUGCUUGAGGACUGGAGAGGAGACUGGAAUUUACGGUGUAGCAGUGAAAUGCGUAGAGAUCGUAAGGAAGACCAGUGGCGAAGGCGGGUCUCUGGACAGUUCCUGACACUGAGGCACGAAGGCCAGGGGAGCAAACGGGAUUAGAUACCCCGGUAGUCCUGGCAGUAAACGGUGCACGUUUGGUGUGGGAGGAUUCGACCCCUUCCGCGCCGGAGCUAACGCGUUAAACGUGCCGCCUGGGGAGUACGGUCGCAAGAUUAAAACUCAAAGAAAUUGACGGGGG
rnacentral:rRNA from 1 species